AGUGGAUGGGGAGCAACCUAGUUGUGCGUGUGUAAAGGUAGUGCCAAGAAAAGCGAUGAUCAUGUUGAAAAUCGAUUCCCGGUACCCGAAACCGACACAGGUGGGCAACUAGAGAAUACUAAGGGGCGCGAGGUAACUCUCUCCAAGGAACUCGGCAAAAUGACCCCGUAACUUAGGGAGAAGGGGUGCCACCGAGAGGUGGUCGCAGUGAAGAGGCCCAGGCGACUGCUUAGCAAAAACAUAGGUCUCUGCAAACUCGAAAGAGGAGGUAUAGGGGCUGACGCCUGCCCAGUGCCGGAAGGUUAAAGAAGUUGGUCAGUUUUAGGAUGAAGCUAGCGACUGAAGCCCCGGUGAACGGCGGCCGUAACUAUAACGGUCCUAAGGUAGCGAAAUUCCUUGUCGGGUAAGUUCCGACCCGCACGAAAGGCGUAACGAUCUGGGCGCUGUCUCGGAGAGAGGCUCGGCGAAAUAGGAUUGUCUGUGAAGAUACGGACUACCUGCACCUGGACAGAAAGACCCUAUGAAGCUUUACCGUAGCUUGGAAUUGUGUUCGGGCUUCCUGUGCGCAGGAUAGGUGUAGGCGAAGAAGGUAUUCUUGUGGGGAUACUGGAGCCAACGGUGAGAUACCACUCUCAGGAGGCUAGAAUUCUAACUUAAUUAAGGACAGUUUCAGGUGGGUAGUUUGACUGGGGCGGUCGCCUCCAAAAAGGUAACGGAGGCGUACAAAGGUUCCCUCAGACUGGUUGGAAAUCAGUCGCAGAGUGCAAAGGCAGAAGGGAGCUUGACUGCGAGAAGUACAGUUCAAGCAGGGUGGAAACACGGUCUUAGUGAUCCGACGGUGCUGUGUGGAAGGGCCGUCGCUCAACGGAUAAAAGUUACUCUAAGGAUAACAGGCAGAUCUCCCCCAAGAGUUCACAUCGACGGGGAGGUUUGGCACCUCGAUGUCGGCUCAUCGCAACCUGGGGCGGAAGUACGUCCCAAGGGUUGGGCUGUUCGCCCAUUAAAGCGGUACGUGAGCUGGGUUCAGAACGUCGUGAGACAGUUCGGUCCAUAUCCGAUGUAGGCGUGAGAAUAUUGAGAGGAGCCUUCCUUAGUACGAGAGGACCGGGAAGGACGCACCGCUGGUGUACCUGUUAUGAUGCCAAUUGUAAACGCAGGGUAGCCAAGUGCGGAGAGGAUAACCGCUGAAAGCAUCUAAGUGGGAAGCCCACCUCAAGAUGAGUAUUCUGGUGUAAGGUCACGGGAAGACGACCCGUAAAUAGGCACGAGGUGGAAGUGCAGAGAUGUAUGAAGCCGAAGUGUACUAAUAGACCGUCGGCUU
rnacentral:rRNA from 1 species